GUCUACAGCCAUGCCACCCUGAACAAGCCCAAUGUCUGAUCUCGGAAGCUAAGCAGGGUCACGCCUGGUUAGUACUUGGAUGGGAGACCACCUAGGAAGACCAGGUGCUGUAGGCA
rnacentral:rRNA from 1 species